UACGUAGGCAGCGAGCGUUGUUCGGAAUUACUGGGCGUAAAGAGUGUGUAGGCGGUGUUCCCAGUCUGUUGUGAAAUCUCCCGGCUUAACUGGGAGGGUGCAGCGGAAACUAGAAUGCUAGAGGGUGGGAGAGGUAAGCGGAAUUCCGGGUGUAGCGGUGAAAUGCGUAGAUAUCCGGAGGAACACCGGUGGCGAAGGCGGCUUCCUGGACCGACACUGACGCUGAGGCGCGAAAGCUAGGGGAGCAAACGGG
rnacentral:rRNA from 1 species